UUUUUUAAAUCUUCUAGGAAUUCAGAUUUUUCCUGGGCUCAGAGAAACUCUGUGCGUCAUUUCUCAUGUUGUCUAUGUGACUGCAUGGGUUUUAUCCGGGUUCUCUGAUUUUCUCCCACCACCCAAAAACUUGCAGCUUGGUGAACUGGCUACACUAAAUUACCCCUAGAUGUGAAUGAGUGUGUGAAAGUGUGUACUCAUGGUGCCCUUCGACAGACUGGAGUCUGUCCAAUGUGUGUAUGUGGCUCACGCCCAGUGUUCCUGGGUCUGGCUCCAUCCCUGCACAGGAUAAUGCAGCUACUUAAAUGGAGUGAUUGAGCUAAAUUUUCAUUUUGUGAAAAAGUAUAACAUUUGAAGGAUAAGUGCCUUCCUCAUGCCCCAACAAGCUCAGGUAGCAGAAGAUUUAUGGACAAAUAUGUUUGUGUUUAUUUAUUCUUCUACAUUAGGAAUAAGAUUUGGUGAUGACAAAGUCAGGGGUUAAAGUGAGUGAGGAUGAACAAAAAUGAUGAUCCGCACCCUCAGUAAAUUGAAGAACAUCACAGACUUGGAGGAAUACACAGCAUGAGUGACUGGCUACAUCAGCAAAUGCAUAGAUGAUGCAAUGCAUAGAUGAUGUGACUUUCUUCAUUCAGGGCAUUCAGGUCAUCACAGACCACAAAGUUACACCACUUGUCUGUGAUGAUGAUGCCUCGCUCCCAGUUGCACUGAGUGAUUUAUACACACGGUUCAAAGCACAGAACGAUAUGCCAGCAUGGAAGACCACCCCAAUUCCCACUGACCAAGUAAAUUGUCUGUCUGCAGUAGAUGUCAAGAAAACUCUGUACAGAGUUAACCCACGGAACGCUACAGGUCCUGACAGCAUACCUGGCUGGGUGCUCAGGGAAUGAGCUGAUCAGCUGCAGAUGCCCUCACAGACAUCUUUAACAUUUCCCUGCACUAAUCAGUCAUCCCUCUGUGCUUCAAGGUGACCACCAUCAUUCCUGUGACGAAAAGAAAUCGUCUGUGUCUUGCCUGAGUGACUACACGUCCGUUGCACUCACACCUAUCAUCAUGAAGUGCUUCAAGCAGCUAGUCAUGAAACACA
ensembl:lncRNA